rnacentral:lncRNA from 1 species
CUCUCUCUCCGGCAAUGCGAAGAAAAUCUCUCCCCCUUCUCCCUGGCGGCUCUUCUCGGUGUUCUUAAGGAGGAGAGGAAGCCCUAAAAACAGGGUUUCCUUCUUCGGGAUGGAACCAGUCCAUCCCGUCGCCUCACGUGCGUCGCACGUGAGGCCGGGGUUUUGGGACUGGGCCGGUCAUUUGGACCGAGCCCAGUUCCGGGGUCUUACAUCCCACCCUCCUAAAAAAAAUUUCGUUUCCGAAAUUUGCGUACCUGCAGUUUUAAAAAAAUUGAGAAUACUUCUUCCAAAUCAAGUCAUAACACUCUUCAAAUCCAAGUCGUCUUGUCUGACCAAUGUCAAAUAAUUCUAUUCACCAUACUUUCUCUGCACACUCUGAUUUAAACCUCAACAUACCCGUGUCAAGUCUAGAUUUUUUUUUCUAAGAAUUACUUGCUUGUUGGUACAUUCAUUAUUAUGCCUUAUUCUGUGUGAACACUUUCGAAAGUUAAAAGUUUAUAUUCUUCUUUUGACAAUCAAUCAAAAAAUGUUAUGUAACUAUUUAAUCUUUUCUAGCAGCAUAAUGAGUUAUCUAACAAAGAGCAGUGGGCAUGACAAAACAAUAAAUAGAAAUAAAUAUUGGGACUAGAUUAAUACCUGUCGUCAACACAUCAGAUGCCUGUGCAUCUUGCUGUGUAAAUGCAAAUACUCUUCCUUGAGUCUUUGGCCCCCGGCUUCCUUCCAUUGCCUGAGUAGAUCUAUUCUCGUUUCUUUGUGGGCAGUCUGCAAUUUUAUGACCUAUCUUACCACAUCUAAAACAGGCACCGGUGUUCCAAUGACAAUCCUUGUCAGCAUGAGCCUUACCACAUCUAGAACAUUUAUUGAUAUUCACCUACUUAGGGUUGUCACUCGUUGAUUUCUUGUUUGAACUUUCGGCGUUUUCAUUGCUCUGCCCCUGAAAUUCAUUCGAUCUGUUCCUCUUCUUUUGAUUUCUUUCCCUUUCCAACCAUUCAUCAUUAACUUUCCUUUCAAUUAUUAAAGCUUUAUUUACCACAGCUGCACAGGUAGUCAAUUCAUAAAGGUACCACUUGUUUUCUAAUUUCAGUCUUUAGUCCCAUCUCAAAUUUAUGCGCUCGAUCUAGUUCAUCUUCGACUAACUUUGGAACAAAUUUGGCUAGCUCGGUAAAUUUAGCUUCAUAUUCUGCAACAGUCAUAUUUCCUUGCUUUAGAUGAAUAAACUCCUGCUCUUUCUGCGUCCUUA